GAAGCGGCAACAGCUCAAAUUUGAAAUCUGGCCUCUUUCGGGGUCCGAGUUGUAAUUUGUAGAGGAUGCUUCGGGUACGGCGGCGGUCUAAGUUCUUUGGAACAGGACGUCAUGGAGGGUGAGAAUCCCGUGUGGGACCGCCCGCCACGCCCAUGUGAAGCGCCUUCGACGAGUCGAGUUGUUUGGGAAUGCAGCUCUAAAUGGGUGGUAAAUUUCAUCUAAAGCUAAAUACCGGCCAGAGACCGAUAGCGCACAAGUAGAGUGAUCGAAAGAUGAAAAGCACUUUGGAAAGAGAGUUAAAAAGCAUGUGAAAUUGUUGAAAGGGAAGCGCUUGCAACCAGACUUGUCUCCGGGUGUUCACCCGGUGUUCUCACCGGGGCACUCGCCCGGGAGCAGGCCAGCAUCGGUUCGGGCGGUCGGAUAAAGGCCCACGGAAUGUAGCUUCCUUCGGGGAGUGUUAUAGCCGGGGGUGCAAUGCGACCCGCCUGGACCGAGGGACGCGCUUCGGCACGGAUGCUGGCGUAAUGGUUGUAAGCGACCCGUCUUGAAACACGGACCAAGGAGUGGAACAUCUAUGCGAGUGUUUGGGUGUCAAACCCACACGCGGAAUGAAAGUGAACGGAGGUGGGAGCCCUCGGGCGCACCAUCGACCGAUCCUGAAGUCUUCGGAUGGAUUUGAGUAAGAGCAUAGCUGUUCCGACCCGAAAGAUGGUGAUCUAUGCCUGAAUAGGGUGAAGCCAGAGGAAACUCUGGUGGAGGCUCGCAGCGGUUCUGACGUGCAAAUCGAUCGUCAAAUU
rnacentral:rRNA from 1 species